rfam:Nectria haematococca mpVI 77-13-4 chromosome 7 genomic scaffold NECHAsca_9_chr7_10_0, whole genome shotgun sequence.
ACAUACGACCAUACCUGCCGGAAAAUACGGGAUCCCGUCCGCUCUCCCAUAGUCAAGCCUGCAAGGGGCGGAUUAGUAGUUGGGUCGGUGACGACCAGCGAAUCCCCGCUGUUGUAUGUU